rnacentral:rRNA from 1 species
AGUGAACGCUGGCGGUAGGCCUAACACAUGCAAGUCGAACGGCAGCACAGUAAGAGCUUGCUCUUACGGGUGGCGAGUGGCGGACGGGUGAGGAAUACAUCGGAAUCUACUUUUUCGUGGGGGAUAACGUAGGGAAACUUACGCUAAUACCGCAUACGACCUACGGGUGAAAGCAGGGGAUCUUCGGACCUUGCGCGAUUGAAUGAGCCGAUGUCGGAUUAGCGAGUUGGCGGGCUAAAGGCCCACCAAGGCGACGCUCCGUAGCUGGUCUGAGCGGCUGAUCAGCCACACUGGAACUGAGACACGGUCCAGACUCCUACGGGAGGCAGCAGUGGGGAAUGUUGGACAAUGGGCGCAAGCCUGAUCCAGCCAUACCGCGUGGGUGAAGAAGGCCUUCGGGUUGUAAAGCCCUUUUGUUGGUAAAGAAAAGCAGCAGGUUAAUACCCCGCUGUUCUGACGGUACCCAAAGAAUAAGCACCGGCUAACUUCGUG